rnacentral:rRNA from 1 species
ACUGCAAUCAUCCCACCUGGCCCCCUCCAUGCUCGCCAUGGAUAUGUGGUUCUCGGUGGUGAGCUCCCAAUGGUGUGCGAUGAGUGGGUUGUCGCCAAGCUCAUCCCCGAGGUUUCUACUGAGGAGUUUCACAGUGACAUCGCACUGAUCACCAACUUCUUGGAAGGGUGUGGAUGGCGCAUCAACUACACUUCUCGUUAUGGUAUGGGCACUGCCUUGAUUCAAUUUACUACUGCCUGCUCCAGAGACAUUGUUGUUAGUCAUAGUCCGUUUCAGAUCGAAGACUCUGUUCUUAGAAUUAGCAGACAUGAUAGAGGCAUUAAUUACCGCAACAUUACUUUCACUCAUGAUGUAUGGAUCUUGCUCAUGAACUACCCUCUCAAGUGUUGGGAUGUGGGUGUUAUCAGCCACACUGUUUCUCCUUAUGGACGCUUUUUGAUCUGGAACAAAGACCCGAGAGACAAAACGAGGGUUAUUAUCAAGCUCAGAGUUAUGAAUGUGGACACCAUACCUAUUAGCAUUGUUGUACUCAGAAAUCUUCAUGAUGUUGGUUAUGGUGACUCUUGGACCUACCCCACAUACAUUCUGUCUAGCGAGUUAAUUGGUCGGCAAGGUGGUGAUGACGAUCCACUGCCCCCCAAUGGUGGAAAUCCUCACCCUCUCCCUCAUGUUCAUGGAGGGUUUUGGCAUGAUGAGGUUUUAGGGAAUAUCCCUAUGGACCAAGUGGUAAUUAGUCCUCACAAUGAGAACCUUGGUGCACCUUAUGAAGAUGUACAUGCUGCCCAUAAUGAUCAUGUGAAUCAUGCUGCUGAUCAUACUGUUACAACUUCUGAUAUUGAUGGAGUUCAGGCUGUUGACCCCAAUGUCUCUGUACAUGAGGUUGAUCCUGACAUGGAGGAAGUGCAGGCUCAUACUCAUAUCCAUGCCAACACUCACUUUGUUGCCCCACAUGAGACACUCGGGCCUGAUUAUAUCCCAAUUGAUCCUAUGGCCUCUCAGCCCAGCUCCCAGGAUGAGCCCAGCCCUAUGUUCAUCCCCAACAAUAACUGCAUGAACUACAAUGACAUACCUCCUUCCAACAGUGCCUAG